CCUACGGGAGGCAGCAGUGGGGAAUAUUGGACAAUGGGCGAAAGCCUGAUCCAGCCAUGCCGCGUGUGUGAAGAAGGCCUUCGGGUUGUAAAGCACUUUCAGUGGGGAAGAAAGCCUUGGGGCUAAUACCCUCGAGGAAGGACAUCACCCACAGAAGAAGCACCGGCUAACUCCGUGCCAGCAGCCGCGGUAAUACGGAGGGUGCGAGCGUUAAUCGGAAUUACUGGGCGUAAAGCGCGCGUAGGCGGUCUGAUAAGCCGGUUGUGAAAGCCCCGGGCUCAACCUGGGAACGGCAUCCGGAACUGUCAGGCUAGAGUGCAGGAGAGGAAGGUAGAAUUCCCGGGGUAGCGGUGAAAUGCGUAGAGAUCGGGAGGAAUACCAGUGGCGAAGGCGGCCUUCUGGACUGACACUGACGCUGAGGUGCGAAAGCGUGGGUAGCAAACAGGAUUAGAUACCGUGUAGUC
rnacentral:rRNA from 1 species